CCUACGGGAGGCAGCAGUAGGGAAUCUUCCGCAAUGGACGAAAGUCUGACGGAGCAACGCCGCGUGAACGAUGAAGGCCUUCGGGUCGUAAAGUUCUGUUGUUAGGGAAGAACAAGUGUUAGUUGAAUAAGCUGGCACCUUGACGGUACCUAACCAGAAAGCCACGGCUAACUACGUGCCAGCAGCCGCGGUAAUACGUAGGUGGCAAGCGUUGUCCGGAAUUAUUGGGCGUAAAGCGCGCGCAGGCGGUUUCUUAAGUCUGAUGUGAAAGCCCCCGGGCUCAACCGGGGAGGGUCAUUGGAAACUGGGAAACUUGAGUGCAGAAGAGGAAAGUGGAAUUCCAAGUGUAGCGGUGAAAUGCGUAGAGAUUUGGAGGAACACCAGUGGCGAAGGCGACUUUCUGGUCUGUAACUGACGCUGAGGCGCGAAAGCGUGGGGAGCAAACAGGAUUAGAUACCCUGGUAGUCCACGCUGUAAACGAUGAGUGCUAAGUGUUAGAGGGUUUCCGCCCUUUAGUGCUGAAGUUAACGCAUUAAGCACUCCGCCUGGGGANCGGUCGCAAGCUGAAACUNAAUGAAUUGACGG
rnacentral:rRNA from 1 species